rnacentral:tRNA from 1 species
GGACAUGUGCCAGAAAAUAUGGUUUACCUUGAUAGGGUAAUUUAUAGAGACUAACCCCUCUCAUUUCCU